rnacentral:rRNA from 1 species
AUUGAACGCUGGCGGCAGGCCUAACACAUGCAAGUCGAGCGGAUGAGAAGAGCUUGCUCUUCGAGUUAGCGGCGGACGGGUGAGUAAUGCCUAGGAAUCUGCCUGGUAGUGGGGGACAACGUUUCGAAAGGAACGCUAAUACCGCAUACGUCCCACGGGAGAAAGCAGGGGACCUUCGGGCCUUGGGCUAUCAGAUGAGCCUAGGUCGGAUUAGCUAGUAGGUGAGGUAAUGGCUCACCAAGGGGACGAUCCGUAACUGGUCUGAGAGGAUGAUCAGUCACACUGGAACUGAGACACGGUCCAGACUCCUACGGGAGGCAGCAGUGGGGAAUAUUGGACAAUGGGCGAAAGCCUGAUCCAGCCAUGCCGCGUGUGUGAAGAAGGUCUUCGGAUUGUAAAGCACUUUAAGUUGGGAGGAAGGGCAGUAAGCGAAUACCUUGCUGUUUUGACGUUACCGACAGAAUAAGCACCGGCUAACUCUGUGCCAGCAGCCGCCGUAACAC